UACUUCAACGAAAUGGUAUAUUGCACUUGCAAUAGGUGCCAAAAUAGGAAACUAAAGAAGCGACGACUUGUCGAUAUCCAUAGAUUGAACUAUGGGGUUUAUAUAGAAGAGGUACACUAUAAUUAACAAAUUAUUACUCUUUAAAUAAAUAAAGGUGCACAUUAUUCAAUACAUUAUUAUUGACCAUUUCAAUUGGUUUUCUGAUAAAAAGCCGCUUCCAGUUCACAAUAUUUCUGAAGAACCAACAGAUGUCACCAAUGAUAGCCACUCUCAAGAUGAAGAACAAGACACAAUUAUGGAUGAAGACACUUCAGAGAUAAAUGAGGCUGGUGUCAAUGAAUUCAUCCAAGACUUCUACACAUCUUUUGAAGAAGUUAUUGAUUCCCCCCUAGCUCAGUUGGCUACAACACCUGUUUUCCCAAAUGCAGAUACUUCUAUAUUGGCAACACUUAUGUUGUUGUUGAAUUUGAAGGUUACACAUGGACUGACAAAUACAUGCUUUAAUGAUAUAUUAAGGCUUUUGGCAAAUAAAAUACUUCCAAAGGACAAUAAGUUGCCUCAUUCUCAUAGAGAAGUAUCUUCAGUAAUGAAAGACAUUGGAAUGGAGUACAAUACAUAUGAUGCAUGUCCAAACGACCAUAUAUUGUAGUAUGGAAGGAAUGCAAAUUUACAGCAAUGCCCAGUGUGUCACACAAGUCGAUAUCAUCAAGAUCAAGUAUCCAAGAAGGUUCCUUAUAAAGUACUAUGACACAUUCCAUUAAAGCCAAGGUUCGAGAGGAUGUUCAAAUGCAAGGAGUUGGAAAAAUAUAUUUUUUAUCAUGCACAUGGGAGGAGCCAAGAUGGUGUCAUGCGUAUGGCCACAGAUAGCAAAUAUUGGAAAGAGAUUGAGGAAAAAUGGCCACAUUUAAGAAAUGAGCCAAGGAAUGCAAUAAUUUCUCUGGCAAUGGAUGGUGUAAAUCCUUUUCGAGAUCUUAGAACAACAUAUUCUGUUUGCCCAGUUUUAAUUAUUAACAACAAUCUCCCCCCCUGGAUGACAAUGAAAAAGGAGCAUGCAAUGUUAACUCUUAUCAUACCAGGGAAGUAUCAGGUAAAGGAUAUGGAUGUAUACAUGGAGCCCCUCAUUGAUGAGCUUCAUGAAUUAUGGGAUGGUGUAUAUAUGCUUGAUAUAUCAAGACCUAUCAAUGAUAGAAACUUCUUCUUUCAAGCGAUGCUUAUCUGGACAAUUCAUGA